rnacentral:rRNA from 1 species
UUUAUUGGAGAGUUUGAUCCUGGCUCAGGAUGAACGCUGGCGGCGUGCCUAAUACAUGCAAGUCGAGCGAAUGGAUUAAGAGCUUGCUCUUAUGAAGUUAGCGGCGGACGGGUGAGUAACACGUGGGUAACCUGCCCAUAAGACUGGGAUAACUCCGGGAAACCGGGGCUAAUACCGGAUAACAUUUUGAACCGCAUGGUUCGAAAUUGAAAGGCGGCUUCGGCUGUCACUUAUGGAUGGACCCGCGUCGCAUUAGCUAGUUGGUGAGGUAACGGCUCACCAAGGCAACGAUGCGUAGCCGACCUGAGAGGGUGAUCGGCCACACUGGGACUGAGACACGGCCCAGACUCCUACGGGAGGCAGCAGUAGGGAAUCUUCCGCAAUGGACGAAAGUCUGACGGAGCAA